ensembl:lncRNA
AGAGGUUGUGCGUACCACCCCUCUCUCUUCCUGAAUUGUCAAUGUGAUGCCAGAAGCUACAAGAGUCAUCUUGUAACUAUGAAACAAGAAACAUGAAGACAAAAGGCCAAAAGUGGAGAAGCAGAAGGUUGUGAAGGAUCAAGCAGGACAUUUUCCAGCCCAGUCCCAGAAGCUGUAAACAUCAUUUCCAUCCAUAACCCACCAGUCAGGACUCAAUUGUGUGGCACUGCCUAACUUCAGGAUAGGCUAUCAACUAUGGUUUCCUUGGUGCCUAGGAAGAAAAUCAAAUGAAUUUGCAUUGCUUUUGCAGAAACUGGCAAAGGACUGAAUUUCUCAUCUGGAUUAACAAAGGGUAACAGAACACACAUGGAAGCUGAGGCUAUAGGAGAGAUGGGAACGUGGCAGAAGACAUUGGGAGGGCAAUGUAAUUGUGAGUUAAAGCUGAGGUUGUCUAAAUCUCAGAUGAAGACAAGUCUCAUCAGCAGCCAUGCAG